UGAGAAACCCAAAAAGAUCGAAUGGGGAGAUUCAUCGUCAGCGUGAUGCGGCGCUUGUGCGGUUCGCGAUGCCGGGGACUUCGGUCUCAUGGCACGCGUCCGCAUGGUUUAUAGCCCGUCAUCGUCGGCGUGCACUUCUCCCCUAGUAGGACGUCGCGACCCGUUGGGUGUCGGUCUACGGCCCGGGUGGUAGCCUGUCAUGCGUCACGGUUAAUCCCGUCGUGUGGCAGACCCCCGGUGCCUGACCAGCUGCCCGGCGGUACUCGCACGGUAUCGAGCCGCAAUUUUAUUAUUGCGUCCAGCCCGUCGCAAGCUUGGCGAGUGUAUACCCGGAUGUACGGACCUAGCGCCGUCACCGGGCCUAGCCAGCUGUUGGUUGAUGGUGUUCUCGGACUGGCUUUAUUCAUAUGAAAAUACCGGUCGGCGACGCUACAGCUUUGGGUACUUUCAGGACCCGUCUUGAAACACGGACCAAGGAGUCUAACAUGUGCGCGAGUCAUUGGGACAAUUGAAGCCUAAAGGCGUAAUGNAAAGUGAAGGUCAGCCUUGCGCUGACCGAGGGAGGAUGGGCCGCGUCACGAUGCGGUCCCGCACUCCCGGGGCGUCUCGUUCUCAUUGCGAGAUGAGGCGCACCCAGAGCGUACACGUUGGGACCCGAAAGAUGGUGAACUAUGCCUGGUCAGGAUGAAGUCAGGGGAAA
rnacentral:rRNA from 1 species